CACGUAGGGGGCAAGCGUUGUCCGGAAUCAUUGGGCGUAAAGCGCGUGUAGGCGGUCCGGUAAGUCCGCUGUGAAAGUCGGGGGCUCAACCCUCGGAUGCCGGUGGAUACUGUCGGGCUUGAGUACGGAAGAGGCAAGUGGAAUUCCCGGUGUAGCGGUGAAAUGCGCAGAUAUCGGGAGGAACACCAAUGGCGAAGGCAGCUCGCUGGGCCGGUCCUGACACUGAGACGCGAAGGCGUGGGGAGCGAACGGG
rnacentral:rRNA from 1 species